UUUCAAACUUGAGAGUUUGAUCCUGGCUCAGAACGAACGCUGGCGGCAGGCUUAACACAUGCAAGUCGAACGCCCCUUCGGGGGAGUGGCAGACGGGUGAGUAACGCGUGGGAACCUACCUUUCGGUACGGAACAACAGUUGGAAACGACUGCUAAUACCGUAUACGUCCUUCGGGAGAAAGAUUUAUCGCCGAUAGAGGGGCCCGCGUUGGAUUAGCUUGUUGGUGAGGUAAUGGCUCACCAAGGCGACGAUCCGUAGCUGGUCUGAGAGGACGAUCAGCCACACUGGGACUGAGACACGGCCCAGACUCCUACGGGAGGCAGCAGUGGGGAAUAU
rnacentral:rRNA from 1 species